UCAAACCAAUGCAACCUCUUUAAUGCUUAUUAUUUUCUUAAAAAAUUAUUAAAUAAGGAUUAAAGCAAUUGAAAGAAAACAAAAAGAAGAGAGAAACAUAACAGCAGUAACUCUCCAUCACCCCAACUCUAUCUCUUCCUCUCGUUGAUUUCUCUUUGCCCUUGUCGGUGAAAGGCGGGCGAUGGUGGCGCCAGCCCUUAUGGCGGUUCCCUACCUCAAAGUUUUACUUUCCCAAAAUAAACCCCUCUUAUUUUUUCAUGCUUGUUAUGAAUUUGAAACCCAUUUUAUCAAAAUAUCAAUCUAAAAGGAAAUCGUCCCUCUCAGAAAUCACAACACAAUUUAAAAAAAGAAAAAAACUAACAACAACAUUCAAAAGACAAGCUUAUGGAUUUCGACACGUAAAAGGGAGUGAAGACAAAACAAUAAAGAUUAACGAAGGAGUAAAGAAAUACCUAGAUUCAGCAACAAGACAAGAAUCUAUCCAAGCAAAGAGAGCAUAGUUCUGGUUAUGUAGAGGGAAAAAAAGACAAACUAGCUCUUAGUCAUUGUGUUACUAAUACACUUGAAGAGCCUCUAUAAUUUUGUAAUGGUUACUAUAAAAAAAAUGCAAAUUAUGUGUAA